AGAGUUUGAUCCUGGCUCAGAACGAACGCUGGCGGCAGGCUUAACACAUGCAAGUCGAACGCGUGUAGCAAUACACGAGUGGCGCACGGGUGAGUAACGCGUGGAUAUCUGCCUUUUGGUUCGGAAUAACCCCGGGAAACUGGGGCUAAUACCGGAUGGUUCCUACGGGAUAAAGAUUUAUCGCCAAAAGAUGAGUCCGCGUACGAUUAGCUAGUUGGUGAGGUAAUGGCUCACCAAGGCGACGAUCGUUAGCUGGUCUGAGAGGACGAUCAGCCACACUGGGACUGAGACACGGCCCAGACUCCUACGGGAGGCAGCAGUGGGGAAUAUUGGACAAUGGGGGCAACCCUGAUCCAGCCAUGCCGCGUGAGUGAUGAAGGCCUUCGGGUUGUAAACUGCUUUUGUACGGAACGAAACGGCUCUUUCUAAUAAAGAGGGCUAAUGACGGUACCGUAAGAAUAAGCACCGGCUAACUACGUGCCAGCCGCCGCGGUAAUUC
rnacentral:rRNA from 1 species